rnacentral:rRNA from 1 species
ACGCAGCGAAAUGCGAUACGUCAUGCGAAUUGCAAAACUUAGUGAGUCAUCAAAAUUUUGAACGCAUCUUGCACUUCCGUUUACGCGGGAGUAUGUCUGUUGGAGUGUCUGUU